rnacentral:rRNA from 1 species
UACGUAGGGUGCAAGCGUUGUCCGGAAUUAUUGGGCGUAAAGAGCUUGUAGGCGGUUUGUCGCGUCUGCUGUGAAAUUUCGGGGCUCAACCCCAAGCCUGCACUGGAUACUGCCGAGCUAGAGUCCGGGAGGGGAGAGCGGAAUUCCUAGUGUAGCGGUGAAUGACGCAGAUAUCAGGAAGAACACCUAUGGCGAAGGCAGCGCUCUGGGACGGUACUGACGCUGAGACGCGAAAGCGUGGGGAGCGAACAGG